UACGUAGGGGACAAGCGUUGUCCGGAAUCACUGGGCGUAAAGGGCGCGCAGGCGGUGAUUUAAGCAGGAUGUGAAAGGCUACGGCUCAACCGUAGACAUGCACCCUGAACUGGGUCACUUGAGUAUUGGAGAGGCAGGCAGAAUUCCUGGUGUAGCGGUGAAAUGCGUAGAUAUCAGGAGGAAUACCGGAGGCGAAGGCGGCCUGCUGGACAAAUACUGACGCUGAGGCGCGAAAGCGUGGGGAGCAAAC
rnacentral:rRNA from 1 species